rnacentral:rRNA from 1 species
AUUGAACGCUGGCGGCAGGCCUAACACAUGCAAGUCGAACGCGUGGCGGACGGGUGAGUAAUGUCUGGGACACUGCUUGAUGGAUGGGGAUAACUACUGGAAACGGUACCUAUUACCGCAUACCAUCGGAUGUGCCCUGAUGGGAUUAGCCAGUAGGUGGGGUAAAGGCUCACCUAGGCGACGAUCCCUAGCUGGUCUGAGAGGAUGACCAGCCACACUGGAACUGAGACACGGUCCAGACUCCUACGGGAGGGAGCAGUGGGGAAUAUUGCGCAAUGGGCGCAAGCCUGAUGCAGCCAUGCCGCGUGUAUGAAGAAGGCCUUCGGGUUGUAAAGUACUUUCAGCGGGGAGGCGUUACCCGCAGAGGAAGCACCGGCUAACUCCGUGCCAGCAGCCGCGGUAAUUC